rnacentral:rRNA from 1 species
CCUGGCGCGAUUGGAUGAGCCCAUGUCGGAUUAGCUAGUUGGCGGGGUAAAGGGCCCACCAAGGCGACGAUCCGUAGCUGGUCUGAGAGGAUGAUCAGCCACACUGGAACUGAGACACGGUCCAGACUCCUACGGGAGGCAGCAGUAGGGAAUAUUGGACAAUGGGCGCAAGCCUGAUCCAGCCAUGCCGCGUGAGUGAAGAAGGCCCUCGGGUUGUAAAGCUCUUUUGUCCGGAAAGAAAAGCGCCGGGUUAAUACCCUGGUGUCCUGACGGUACCGGAAGAAUAAGCACCGGCUAACUUCGUG